rnacentral:lncRNA from 1 species
AUAGGUUCAUGGUGGAAGCCCAUGUAUGAUUAUUAAAAUUAGUUUAUGAUGGAGUUAUGGCCCGUUUGGUCUAGAUUCUGAAAAAGUAAUUUCUACCGAAUUGAUUUUGGUUUGAAAAAGUGAUUUCUGUUAAAAGAUGCACAGCAUUUGGCUGAGUUUGAUAGAAAAAUGAUUUUGCUGAAUUGAAUUUUAAAAGUUAUUUGGCAAUUUUUUUUUGCUUAAGUGAAUUUGUAAUGUUGUUUAACAUUAGUUUAUUAAUUUAUUUUGUAAUGUGUUGGUUUUUUAAUCGGGUUUCGGGUCGCCCAUGAUGGACAAAUCUGACCUGACCCAUUAAGUGGUGGUUUCCUUAGUUGGUUGGAAAACCACCCAGUACGUGCAGUUACAAACGUGCAGAGAAAAAAAGGGAGGGAAGGAGUGUGAAAGGAAGUUCUUAUUUUCUGAUUUUUCUUCUUCUUCUAAUGAUAUUGCUCUCCCCAUUACUGAGAUUCCUAAAAAGUUUACUCUCUACUUGGAGGAUUUGACAUUUGGGUUGUAGAAACUAGUGCAAUUUCCAUCUUGUGAUCUUGCAUUUGAUCCGUUGGAGCGAGUGGUUUGGUUUGAUC